ensembl:lncRNA
GAUUGGUCUUCUAUGAGGUCUUGAUACCUACAAAAGGGUACCUUCCCUUGUGCAGUACUUGAAGGCCAGAUGUGGGCAAUAAUGUGCAGAAACAUGAAUUUUGUUGAAUGUUUAUAUCCCAAGCCUUCCAAAAUACUGGGAGCCCACUGAAGCAUAUUGGGACUGUUUGAAUUACUACCUUUUAAUUUUGCUUUCCACAGUGUAAACAUCUUGAGUGCUUUUGCUCUCAGAAGCUGAGCUGUUCUUUUCAUGUGUUCCUAGGUGUCCCGACUUAAGAACAACCAAAGGGAAGUUCUUUCAGUCACUUGAGUAAAUAUCUCCAUUGAAGGAGUCCAAGAAAGAAGCUGACUGAAGGACAGUUGUCUCUGUUCAUGCAGUGGUCACAUGCUUUGGAGAUGAUUUGAAGUUGGUGAAACUGAGGCCCAGAGACAGAUACAAUUUUCCUAAGUCAUUGUGACUAUUCCAGCAGCACAUUGGCCAGACAAGCUCUUUAUACGUAAGGUCACAGUGCUGAUUUGUCCCUGCCCUUAAUCUGCCUGUUGGGAUUACAGUGAUUCUGGAAGAAUUACAGCACUUUUUAUGUGAUGCUGAUUUUCAGGGUUAAUUUAAUAAAAUUUUGUUCUCUAAUGUUUUGCAGCU